CGCGCUCUUUUAGUAGCGAGCGGCAAACGGGUGAGUAACGCGUGGGAAUCUACCCAUUUCUACGGAAGUAACACAGAGAAAUUUGUGCUAAUACCGUAUACGUCCCUUUAGGGAGUAAAGAUUUAUCGGAGAUGGAUGAGCCCGCGUUGGAUUAGCUAGUUGGUGAGGUAACGGCGUACACCAAGGCGACGAUCCAUAGCUGGUCUGAGAGGAUGAUCAGCCACACUGGGACUGAGACACGGCCCAG
rnacentral:rRNA from 1 species